GCCGCUAUGGCUCAGUGGUAGAGCGCCUCUCUCGUAUGUACUGAUGUGCCCAAGAGGAGAUCCUGUGUUCGAUCCACAGUGGUGGCA